rnacentral:tRNA from 1 species
GUGGCCGUGGCUAAAUGGUUACGUGUUCGCUUUAUAAGCGAAUGGUCCUGGGUUCGAUUCCCAUCUGCUCCC